UACGUAGGGGGCGAGCGUUGUCCGGAUUCAUUGGGCGUAAAGAGCUCGUAGGCGGUUCGGUAAGUCGGGUGUGAAAUCUCCGUGCUCAACACGGAGCGGCCACCUGAUACUGCCGUGACUCGAGUCCGGUAGGGGAGUGUGGAAUUCCCGGUGUAGCGGUGAAAUGCGUAGAUAUCGUUUGGAACGCCAAUGGUGAAAACAACUUGCUGGGGGUGUGCUGACGCUGAGACACGAAAGCCAGGGGAGCAAACGGG
rnacentral:rRNA from 1 species